rnacentral:rRNA from 1 species
GAUGAACGCUCGCGGGGGGCCUAACACAUGCAAGCCGAGCGGUAGAGUCUCUUCGGAGACUUGAGAGCGGCGCACGGGUGCGGAACACGUGUGCAACCUGCCUUUAUCUGGGGGAUAGCCUUUCGAAGGGAAGAUUAAUACCCCAUAAUAUACUGGAUGGCAUCAUCUGGUAUUGAAAACUCCGGUGGAUAGAGAUGGGCACGCGCAAGAUUAGAUAGUUGGUGAGGUAACGGCUCACCAAGUCAGCGAUCUUUAGGGGGCCUGAGAGGGUGAUCCCCCACACUGGUACUGAGACACGGACCAGACUCCUACGGGAGGCAGCAGUGAGGAAUAUUGGACAAGGGGUGAGAGCCUGAUCCAGCCAUCCCGCGUGAAGGACGACGGCCCUAUGGGUUGUAAACUUCUUUUGUAUAGGGAUAAACCUAGAUACGUGUAUCUAGCUGAAGGUACUAUACGAAUAAGCACCGGCUAACUCCGUG